ACCUGAAAUUUUCCUUCAAGUAUUACGUGAAACCAAAAUAUUUCGUACGAAAUAUAAGGAUAUUUUAUGAGUACAGGAGACAUAAAACAUUGAAGUUUACACAAAACCGGAUUUCGAUCCGUCGUGCAAGUAGAAAGCAUGCGAAAAGAAAACAAAAGAAAUGUUAUUUCAAGGUACAUAAAUGAUGGCACACGUAAGACUAUGCGGUUUCCCAUAGUCGGUCCCAUAGUCAUUUUAAUCAUUAACUAAUAUCAAAACAUCACAUAUAAAGCUGACCUUAAAAUUUGUAUUAAAAUUCGCCUUAUUUCUUCAAAGAAUCGAAACUAGAUAAAAAUAUAAUACAUAAAGAUACGUGUAUAAAGAAAUUGAAAACUUGAUAGCUCAAUUAAGUCGACAAUAUAAAUAACUUGCUCGUAUAAUUUCCGAUACAGGAUAUGUCAAAGUUGCGUCAACAUUUAUUAUUAUUAUUACAAUUAUAACAUUAUACACCUACAUAUUAUAUCGUCAUGUAUAUUACGAUAUUAUUAUUACUACAUAAAUAAUAUUCACACGAUUAAAACAUAUCCGGUAUCACCACGAUCCCACCUCUCAAGUUCAACGAGACAAUACGUUCCAAUAUAUUUGCGAUCAUUUUUCUCAUAUCGAGCAUCAACGAGAUCUAUUGGAAUAUAGAAUCUAUAAAUGGAACAACCUAUAUCUUACCGCACGUUUCAAAAAUUAAUCUCAAUCUAUUCUUGCAUAUGCGAAUAUGUUAGAAUCUGUACUAUUAUCGUAUCGUUACAUUCGCUAUUGAAAGAAAAAUGCCCAUCUCUAUGGAGACAAAUAACGAGGAAGUGGUAGGUGUGAAUAAAACAUAUACGUUCUUUGGCGCAGGUUAUCACGCAAUAACGCACAGUCGCGACCGAGAUCGCCGGGAUUGUAUUGCGUUUGCCAAGCCACGGGUAAUUUUUACAAGGAUAUGGGUUAGAUAAUCGAUGCGCUGUACUAUCGACGUAACUAUUAAAAUAUCGUAUAGCACGGUAAUCCGAUCGUCUAAGCGAAUCUGAAAUAGAAUUCGUCUCGUUCGAGCGAUAGAAAUGUUCGCGCUGGAUAUGACUCAUAUAAGAAAAAUCUGGAAAAAUUCUCCAAUUGUUCGACGCGUGUACGUAUUUACAAAACAACUAUUCGUCACGAGGUAUUUGUCCAAUCGAACGAGACCGAAACUCUGACAACUCUGUUUCGAUUAUUAGACUCGCACCUUGACCUAUUCUGGUUAAUUAAAAAUAACACAAGGCUGAGAACUCGGGAAGAGUUAUACUUUGUGUUUGCAAUGCUCAUCGUUUCGCACCUUACGCAACAGAUAAAAAUUGGCUCGCGUCUGUGUAUCAUACGAACAAAUACAAUGUCAAGUUCCUGUUGGCGAGACAACUUUCGACCGAAUGUAGCGCACACUGACAGUUCUCUCACGUUCUUUCGUACAACGACACUGAACCCUAUUUUUCUAAGUACAAAUUCGAUUCAAAUCGGUGUAAUCUUCUUUAUUCAUUGUUAAAGACCGCAAACAGAAACGACAAAAUCUUCUAGGUUCGAUAGAUUCGUAUCAAAUGUGUGAAACAUCUUCUAAUAAAUAUGAACAGUGUAUUAUUCAGAUGCAAAUCGUAUAAUCUUUUAUUAAUUCUCAAUGCUGUACUUACCGCUGGUAAUCCAAACCCUAAUGUUUGAAACAAUCGUCAAGAACUUUUUAAAAAAAGUUUUCCAUCGUGACUGAGAACCAAACGAAUAUUCGUGCUGGAAUAGAUUAUUGGUUGUGAGUAAAGAGUGAAUUGAAGAACGCAAGUGAAGAUUUGGGAUGGUGUCACGUAGAGCUUUAAAAUGCACUGUGCCGCUUGGAAGUUUGAUUGUUUGGGAGAAGAACGUGUACUAUGGUUACGAAGUUUUAGAAGUACAAUAUGAUUCGAGGAAAAGCUAUGGAGUUGUCGAGAGUCAUGAAAGAAUCAUGAGAGAGCCGUUCAGAGUCAGAGUUGAAGGAAUCCAAAGUCAUUUUGAAUGCGAUCGGUCAAACGUAACCAAUGAAAAAGGCGCUUAUUGGUAAUCCCACUGCGAUAACCUCGCGCAAGCAAUCUCGUUUCUCUCUUUAAACGCUUCAUUGCUAAAUGAAGCGGAGAAAAGAGGGAAAAAAUUGUGUAUGUUCGGCACAAUGACACCAGCGGUUAAAUCUCGCGUGAUAGGUAGUAAGAGAGAGACAAAUUUCGAGUAUCGCUUGUUAUAAUCGUGUGAAAGAUACAGAAGGCACGACUUACGAGUUCCAGAUUGUAAUACUCUUACGAAACGUAAGCAAAACGUCCCAACUUCCUUUUUAGCCCCUUCGAGAAAUUAUGCUUCUUAAUUCGCGAAAUAAAAUAAAUUUGAUGAAGUAAUAAAUUUAUAUGCGUCCCUUUCUGAGAAAUGCUUAAUGUUAAUUGUUAGAAAAUCUUUCGCUUAUUUAAUAGCACAGCUUUCAAACUUUAAACUUUAUGGUUUCAUAAAGCUUAAACAUAGGGGAAAUGUAAUCAUUUACAAAUCUUACCAAUCUAUCUCCAAUUUUACGCGAAGACGUUAUAAAUAAAAACAGUCAGAGAUCAUUGUAUCGGAUAAUAAAAGUUCAAUAGAUUUUACCCAUUACCUGUAGCUUUUUGGUGUGGUAAUUGUCAUUCAGCUUCGAAUCGAAUUAGGUGAGUUCGAAUAUAUUGGGUUGACAACUAAGUGAUUGCGGAUUUUGUCAUUAGGUGGUAUUGACAAAAUCCGCAAUCAUUUAGUUGCCAACCCAAUACAUUUAAUUAUCGCGAUUGCUGUAAUUUGAGUUCAUCCUUCGAAAAAAAGAUUUCGAUUCGUUAAAUGAAGUAUCGAAAUUUUGCUCUUUAUACGUCUAACAUAGCACGUUUAAAUUAUAACAUAAUUUUCGUUAUAAUAUGUGUAUUGUUCUUUGUCAAUUAUACGACAAAUAAAAUCAUAUAAAAAAACGUAUAACAUCAUGUCAAUAGUAAUUUUUCUAUCUCAUCCAUCACGAAUGUUGUCAAUUCUGUACAUCAUAGACAAAGUUCAUUAAACGUUAAAUUUUAACAAUGUACAAAUAAACAUAUACGAUUUACAUAGAAAAGAUAAUUGUUCGCGUGUAUGUAAGUUUAACAGUGUUUGUCUACGUAUUAGUUAGUCAUACAGUUCAAUGCACGUUAAGGUUGAAAAAUUGAUAAUAAUACUCGACGUUUUUUCAUCCAGAUACACGCAAUGAUAACACGAGCGUAAUGAUAACGCAGAUUAAAUGUUACGGUAGCGUUCGUUUAACAGUGUUACUAAAUAGAUAAACCGUAUCUCGAUUUUUAUCCGAAAGCCACCGCGAAAGAUCACGAAAAUGAAAUACUUGUUGAAAUAUGCAAAAAUUUCAGCGCUGGGGACUGCUGACACAUUGGUAAAAAAAACACAGGGGAUAAGCAAGCUGAUAAGCAGAUAAAGCGAAAAAUAUUCUCCGCCACUUGUCUGCAGAUCCAGAGGAAAGACUGAGUCCCUUAAAAUUAAAUUCAUGUAACGCGAAGUGGCGAAAUACUCCAUCGAAUAUAAUUCCUUAAGAAAUCGAGAAAUCCGCGCAAGGAGAUUAACAGCUGUAUGCUACUUCGAUUUUUUAUUUCAUAAAACCAAAUUUCGAAAUCAGCGAAACAUACGUCGGAUCGAAAAUCAACGAUGAAAGUCAAGACUUGACAUUUUUUAAGAAUUGGAAUUGAAUAUUAUAUAAUAAUAUGUAGGUCAAUUCUUGCUUUUCUUAAGUUCUUUUAGUUUCGUGAUUAGUCGAAUUAUAAUUUCAUCUUCUGUCGCGAUAUAUUUUCAUAAUUUGAAGAAACAACGUGAAUUGUUCGUAAUAACAAACGCAGAACACCGUUUCACGAAAAGUAACAAUUGGCUUACGCCGUUACGAUCCUUAGCUCUUCGUAUGAAAAUAUCUUUCCGAAUGUCAUACGAAAACCUGUUCUUUCCUUUCGUCAGAGGUCCAACAAUACACGUUCCAUAUAUCACUAUUCUAUCAAAUCCUAAAAACCUUGGAAACCCUGAACACCUCAAAUUCUUAUUCGUACGAAAUUUAAAAAAAAAAACCAUCCCAAGAAAUACUUGCUUUUACCUAAAAUCUCCUCAACGAACCUAACCAUUAAAUAUGUGCGUGAGAUAGGCGACAAAGAAUCAACAGCUAAUCCGACAAACCAGCGUUCAUCGCCCACAAAACAGGCUUGAAGAGAAUAUCAAUUACCGAGAACGAGCAGCGAGAUAAUCCAGCAACGUGAAAUAAUGGUUGAAAGUAGAUCAAACGAGAAGAAACACGAGGGGGUGUGUAGCAACAGGUAUGUGGCAAGUGGUUAAAACGAGUCUAAGACGAAGCUCGCGCGAACGCGAAACGAAGAGAAGAGAAGAGAGAAGAAGGUUCAGGGCAGCCAAGCCUUUGGAGGGUAAUUUAUUUAAACGACGGCCUAUCUGCACGUCUAUCGGGUUGCUAGUCUCGCGGUGGUUCGCUGAUAAAUCUCUUUCUCUCCGCUCGUGGUGUGUCGGUACUCUUUUUUCAGCCGGCUCGGCCGGCAAGACGUAAGGAAGGAGUGUACGCGGAGGGUGACGGGGGUGGUGUAUAUACUAGGAGAAGAGAAGGCUUGUUAGUAACUUCAGUAAAGUGGCGGGCACAACGGGGCCCGUUUUGUUUCCCGGUUUCGUAGCUGGACCAUAGCGAUAAGCUUGGGAGAGUUUCGCGCAACGAGCCCGGACGACUAUAAGGGACCUUAACGUGCAGGUUCGCGCUCAACAGGAUCGCUGAACCACGAAUAAAUCCGGCUGCCGUACGUCUUCGUGCAGAUUAGAUCGCCAUAUCCGCCGUGACUCGAUGCGAUGCGCUACACCGCUGGAUUUUCGAUAAUAAAACGACAGGAUCGCGAUCGUUAAUCUCGUAAAAGGAAGCAGUUACCGUUAGACCGAUGCGUCGAGCGCGUGCAUCGCUUCUUUACUAUCCGAGCGCCGCGUCUUGUCUUUCUGCUUGUGACACUUUUCACCGCACUUUUCAUCGCCACAUUCCCGUUCGGCCUACCAGAGUCAUCGGCUUUUUGCCUUAAUUCCAGCGUCGCUCCACGUGUUUCGCUGUUUUUCCACCAAUUACCGACGCCUAGCUACAAGCUAUCGCUUUAUAUGGCGCCUUAUUGAAUCUCUAAAAUUGAAAUUAUCCAACGUUUUUGAGUGGAUACUGUCGAGCGUGUUCUUUUAAUUUCAGUAUGUUUGUAAGCUAAAUGUAAUUUACAAGAUACCAUUGUCUAAACACGGCUGUGAGAAAAAUGAUCGAACGAGUGGUAAAUGAUCAUUUAUAGCUGUUUUUACAAAAUGUACAGUUAAAGUAAUUAAAUACGAUAUAUCGAAUGUGGUUUUACGUUCAGUAAUAAAUAUUUAAAAGGA